AUGAAAGGAUAUGAUUUGGGAAGAACAUAUAGAAACAUUAACUCUGUCAAAGUUUUUAUUCAGUGUAUUGCUGAUGUUGAGUUUCAGAAGAUAGCUAAUCAGAUAAAAAACUCUCAGUUUUUAUCUGUAAUUGGAGACGGGUCAACUGAUUCAGCUGUGAAAGAGCAGGAGAUGUGUGCUCUUAAUAGAGCAGUUCUACAGAAAACAUAUGAAGCUACAAAGUCUCAGGAUGAAAGGCUGUUAAUUCCAACUAGAGUUGGAGGAACGCGAUGGAUUGGUCAUCAGGUAACCUCCAUCUCCCAUGUGAUCACAUCUUGCAAAGUCAUUAUAACCCAUAUGGAACAGAGAAAAUAUGAGAACAAGUUUUCCAAAAUCCUUGCAGUUAUCGACCUCAUAUUUACCAUGUCACCAAGCUCUGCAGAAGCAGAAAGGAGGUUUUCCCAAUUAAAAUGCCUAAAAACAAAUUUACGAUCUAGGCUCAAUCAGACCACACUUAAUCAUGUCCUGUCUAUCAAACUCCACUCGAAAUAUAUAAGGGACUAUGACCUAAAGCCAGCAAUACAUUACUGGAACCACAGAUCCAAAAGGCAAGGGCGCCCUUUAUUUGAAAGGAAGAGCAAAGCAACUGAAGAAUUGGAGGAAAACAGUGAUGCUGUGAAUCAUCAUGAGGACAAUGCCAUGGAAGCAGAAGAAAGCCAUGAGGCAGUUGAAGAGGAACCCAUUGAUGCCACUGAUGAUGAAGAAGAAACCAGUCAUGCAGUCAGAGAUAAAUGGAGAGUUUGA
rnacentral:sRNA from 1 species